GGGGGGGGGGGGGGGGGACUCCCCUCAGGCGCAGCCCCGCCAAAAUGUGUGGGGCGGGAGGUUCCUGCCGAAUUUUUACCGAAAGCCUGAAUUAAAAUUAACCUGCGAAGGCUGUAAUAAGGAAGGAAAUUAAGGGAUGUGUGUAUCUAUAUAAAUAUACGUGUGCUGCAGUGGCUUGUCGGCGGCGAUUAGGGAAGUCCUGCUGUCUGGAAAUUGGCUUUGCCUCCCAGGAAACCUGAGGGGAGCGCUGCCCUAGUUAAUGCUGCGGGAGCUCUCGGGAGAGGCUCGAAAUGAAAUGGAUACAGGGGGUUAUUUUUCGUUUCGAAAUAUGCUCUUGAAUAAAUUAGUUUUGCGUCCAGAAAUGGCAUCUGUUUUCCUUGGCUCGGGUGUUUUUCUUAGGAGUGUUUAGGUAUGCAGCUCACACGGGAACCGGGGCUAAUAUCUGAGCAGCUUUGGAUAUCGGUGCUGUGUCGUCUUAGAACAGAAAUGCUGCUUUAAUUCAAAAGUUUAAAUGCAGAAAUGCUGUGGGGUCAGUAACCCCGGGAGAGGGAAAGGACGGGCACUUAAAACAUAGAACUCACGAGGUGAGAAACUAAGUGUUUUAUAAGAGUUAAGUGGCCUGAUGUUCAGUGACACCAUCUGAAAACGAACCUUCUCUUUUAUUUUCAAGGAAGUAGCUGAAAACACUGGAUGCACCUCUGUUUCUCCUGGAGGCCUUGUAUCCUCUGCGUUCCACUCGGGCUGUGGCUGAUGGGCUGGAAGAAACCCCGGGCUGGUUAUUACAGAUACACUUAAUAUUAAACAAACAAUUAAACAAAUGUGGGCCCCCUGAACUCAGAAGACCUUCUAAUUUGUGUCACUUGCUGAUUUAUCUCCAGUUCACAGCUCAUUAGAAGGGGUUUGGGUGUAUUAGAAGUUGGUACAUGACAGUGUGAAGGGUUUGACUUCCAACCUGCUCGAGGCUUUGUCUGCAGGGUCUGGAAAAUCCCAGCUUUGCCUCCUAUGGAGUCGGCAGGGAAGGAUAAAUCAGGAAGAGCAAGGAACUCUUCCUGGUGCUGCUGUGUCUCCUGACAGGAGAGCAGAGCCACAGAGGAGGAAACAGCAUCAACAUUCUCCACAAAGCAGAGAAAAUAGGUGCAGCUGGAAGUUAUUCUGGAAAAUGGGGAAGCUGGAAUCCUUAGAGGAGCUGCCAACGUGCAUUUGCCUGAGUUCCUUCAGCAGUGGGGAAGAGAGGGAGAAUUCCAGACACGUCAUCCCGAUUUCACAGGCCUGCAGAGAUCUCCAGAGUGGACUGAUCCAUCUGGGGGAGGAACAGAGUCAUGAGAUCAGAGGAGAUGUGGGAGCUCAGUGCUCUGUGAUCCAGAGAGCAAGUGGGAUGGUGGGAAUUAUUAGAGAAGAAAUAGAGGAAAACCCCAAAAGACUUCUUGAUACCACUCUAAACCCACCCCAUAUCUGUGUUGCUCACAGAGCAAAACCUCCCUGCAGGAUCUGCUUUGUAAAUCUGCCAGAAGGUGAAGACAACCACUUCACCUGCGAGGGAAUAUUCAUUUAUGGGGCUUCAGUGGUGACAUAGAUCUGAAAAAAGGAAAAUAGUCUUAAAUCCUUCCUCAGGAGAGAGAUUUCCUUCCAGUUUUAUUCAGUGGGAUUGCUUUGAGUCUGUGAGUUCUCAGCUCAUGAAGAACUUCCUGGCUGAGGGGAUGAAGACAUUAAAGCCUUUGCCCACUCAGGGCAAUUGCUCUGGAGACAAACCCAGCUCAGAAAACAAAUGUUCUGAGCUACCUGGGAGUUCUGGUUCACUAAACACAUGAAGAGCCAGAGAUCCUUCUGAACCUGCAAGUGAAAUUUAUUCUCAAGGUGGCAAAAUGUCUGGAACCUCAUCUUGAAGAGCCUUGGAAGGGCCAAAAAGGUUCUUCCUUUUCCAGGUCACUGCCAGGUUUUAGAAGAUACAAUUUUUCAGCAUCUGAAGCAGGAAAUCCCAGCUCUUUUCCAGGAGAAGCAGCCCAGGGCUGACAGGGCUUCCCCCCAGAACACUCCCAGGGUAAUUGCUGAAGACAUUCCAAGCCACUCUAACGAAGUGCACUGUCUGCCAGUCAUUCUGUUCUCCUUGGAAGACCAUCUGUUGCACUUCAAAUAUGUAAAGGUCUGCUAUCAUUUAUUGCUCCAAACAAAUCCACUCCUUUGUCUGAUGGGCUGGAGCUCCUGAAUGGGGACUAGAGGUGGUUUCGGUCAUGGAGGGCAGGAUAUUCAGGAUAUUCCCUUUUGUUGCUCUGUAAGUGAAAGGUGCUCACUCAGCUCAAAUUUCAGAGCACAAACAGUGAUUAAACUGAUUUCAGUGCUUUUGAAUAAUUUCAAUUUAUUUGGCAACAAAUCAUGAACAACAACAACAACAGUCUGAAAUGUAGUUUCUGUUAACUCAGCCAGAAGCACAUUGUAAGAUUUUUGCUUCUGGUGAACAAACCUUUUCAUUGUAGUGGUAUCCAGACUUGAUACACACUGACAUUUGAAUUAUGUUAUUUUAACUAAAUUGCUUAAUUAGCUUAUUUGUGGCUGAAACUAGUGAUUCAAAGAAACUUUCAGCAGUGAAAAAUAGGGUCAGCAGCUCAAAAUGCAAGAACCUUUCUUCUGGUAGGUAACCACGUGUCCUUUACAGGGAUGUAACACUUGCCUGUACAGUCUUUAUUUAUGAGUUAACUGGGACCCUUUCCAUGAAUUAAAUGAGCAAGAUCAGGCAUUAAAUGAUGAUUUCUCUUUGUUUUUCCUGCUGCAGAUUUUAGAGAGGCUGUGCAACCCCUCCUCUCAGAUUGGAGAGCAUAAGCAUUGUAUUUUCACAGCAGAGAAGUUCUGUUCAGAGAUUUCCAGCCAGGGAAACACACAACUAUUUCUUUGUGAUUAGGGAGUGGUCCUGUCUUCUUCCCUUUUUUUCCUCUGUCCCUUCUCCUCCCUGCAUAGCAGUUAAUGUUCUGGUCAGAAGGAAUAAUAUGUUAGAUCUUGAAUGUCAGUAGCCCCAGAGAUUCUGACAAGACUAUUCAUGUGCAUUCAUACGUCUUAACCAAAGCUGACACUAAAGAGAGCAAGAAUCCUCAUAUUCCUCUUUUUAUUGCUGUGCAUUAAACUCAAAUCUUCUCUUGGAGACCUCUGCUGAAAAAUGACAUAUUCCCCAUUUGAAAAAGGCUUUCUGGCAGGGUCUAAACAAAGCAGCUGGACAUCAACGUGGCCCAGGGCAGAAAGCUCCCACAGUUUGGUUCACACCCCAGUUAUGGACACCUACCAAAUGCUGGGAGAUAAAUCCUAAUGGGAAACAAACAGUAAUGGUUUUGUUGUCAUUUUUUCAUUUAAAAAUUAAGUGGUCUUCUAAUUCCUUGAAAUCUUAUAGGAAUACUUGGAUUCUGGUAACCUGAGGUGGAUGUUUUCUGAGAAACACCCCCUGUGUGAAUGCUCUGCUCUCCCAUUUACCCCAGACAUAUUUUACACAUGCUUCUAGUACAGUUUACAGCACAUGUCUGGGUGAUUUUGCAGUGAUCUGAUCGUGUGGUUAAAGCCAGGUAGGCAAUUUUUACAGCAAUGAUAGUUUUAAUCUUCUUUUUUGUAAUUGUUUGAUAGCAGUGACUAGCACAGCCUUGGUGGCUCUGGGCACCUCGCCAUUCUUAGGUAGUUUAAUUUGUUAAAAAUUAUCUUCCCUCCCACCCAAAUCCCCUUGAAACCACUUGGAGAGGAGAAGUGUUGAACUGUUGCCAAUAAUAAGUCCUGCUGAGACCUCUGUAUCCUCCUGAUAGAGCUGUUGGUGCCAACCAGGGACUGACUGGCACGGGUUUGAACUCUCCACUGCUUGAUAGAUCUGCUUCACAUGGACCAAUUACAACAAUUCCCACCUCUGGAGCUGAAGCUGAAGCCCUUGGUCUUCCCUUCAUACCUCAGGUUGUUGGCAGUGUGUUCAGUCCUACAGUCUCAGUUUUCUCUGAAUAAUUAAGUGGAACAUAAACACUUCGAAAAAGUAGGAGAGAGUCUGAAUGGAAAUCAAAGGCUGAAUAAUAUCAUUGUUUUUCAUGUUGCUGUUGUUAAGCUGCAUUUCUUUCCAUUUAUUCUUUAUUUCUAAAAGGCAGCAUCUUCUUUUAAGUUUUUUACAGAGAUUCACCAGAAGGUGCUGCAGUCCAUUGACUGUUAUAUUCAACAGUAUCUUUUAAUGUGAAUGAAAGAGCAAUAGGAAUUCCUACUUUUUUUUUUUUUUAAUGGGUUUAAAAAUAUAAAUAUUCCUUUCAAAAUAAAUACUUUUGACCAAAGUGGAAAAUCAUCCAUCCUUUACUCCUUUUGGCUGGAUGUUUCCAUAAGAAAUAGGGAUAUAACACCAGGAUGAGAGACUGGCAUUAACUGCCCAGUUCCUGACAAUUCCAUUGGUUUCAAUCUGAUGCAACAGGGACCAUCUUGCCCUUGCCCCUGUUGUCUUUCCAGGAGAGUAGUUAAUUUUUAAAUUGGAGCAGCUGCAGGUUUUUUUUAACCAGUGAAGUUUCUAUUACACAAGGAUAAACCUAAGAUUGAGCACAAACUGACUUGCCUGUAGCUUUCCUAAUAUGAUUGCACUGCACAGUGUAGAUACUAAAAUUUAUAUUAAAAAUUCUCCAUGCAGUUUCCCUCUAGGGAGAGGAAGAGGGAAGGGAAAGGCUACAUGUGACAGAUGCUAAUUAUGCAGCUUAAUGCACUUCUGGAAGUUGCAGAGAUGAGAACUCUGUAAAAACCCAUCCACAAAACAAAGCCUAUUUUCAACAGCGUUUUUUCCACAAUGCUUUGUUUUCAUCUGCCUCCUCCCUGUUUUCCAGGAGGCUUUAUUUCCCAGAGAGCACAUCCAGUAUUCAAAGGGCAAGUGAUGUCCAGGGUCCAAAAUUUGCCAAGCAUGGAUAUGAGUGUUCUCCAUCGUGUCUUCCUGCUCUGUGGGGCCGUACCUGGAAUUGGGAAAGGUGGUGGCUCCCAGUCAGGACAGCCUGGGAUUGCUCCUUUAGGACCGGUGACUUCCCAACCUCUCUCCACGCAGGACGAUAAUCGCGCUAACGACGGCAGCGGCGCCGGAACUUCCGAGGGCUUGGUGUGGCCUUGGCAGCCUUGGAGGAGCAUGUUUGGAGCGAAUCCUCCUCUUGCCAUGGUCCUCAUGUGCAGCCACCACGGAGAAAACCAUCUGUUCCCCUUGGAAGGGGGUUUGGUUCCCCGUGCCCUCCCCCGAUCCCGCUCCGUCCCCAGCUGCCGUGUUUCGACGAGCAGCGAGGGAACGAAUCCCCUACGUUAAAAAUACUCGGGGUCUAUUUAGAUGAAAGGAAGAAUCUUGCUUGCCUACACUGACAUGCAAAAAUAGGCUCAGUGUGAGUAAAUCUUCAAACUUUCUUUUGGUGAAAAUA